UAAAAAAACAAAUGGACACUGAAGGAUGGGUGGAUAUCAAUCUAAUAGCGGGAUUUAAUAUGGUUAAAGCGCGCACCACUGAUGUUGAUGUGGUAAAGGAGGCAGUAAAAUACUCUCAAUUCCUUGAAUUCAAUAAUGACAAGGUGAGGAGAAGGAGGAGGUGGAGUGCAGCAGAAUAAUGUGUUCUUUAAAACCAAG